rnacentral:rRNA from 1 species
CUAGCGACUUCAGAGUUUGAUCCUGGCUCAGGAUGAACGCUGGCGGCGUGCUUAACACAUGCAAGUCGAGCGAAGCACUUUUGAUUUCUUCGGAUUGAUUAAGUGACUGAGCGGCGGACGGGUGAGUAACGCGUGGGGAACCUGCCCCAUACCGGGGGAUAACAGUUGGAAACGACUGCUAAUACCGCAUAAGCGCACAGGAAGGCAUCUUCCAGUGUGAAAAACUCCGGUGGUAUGGGAUGGACCCGCGUUGGAUUAGCCAGUUGGUGGGGUAACGGCCUACCAAAGCGACGAUCCAUAGCCGGCCUGAGAGGGCGACCGGCCACAUUGGGACUGAGACACGGCCCAA